rnacentral:rRNA from 1 species
GACAGAGGAUGCAAGCGUUACCCGGAAUGAUUGGGCGUAAAGCGUCUGUAGGUGGCUUUUUAAGUUCGCCGUCAAAUCCCAGGGCUCAACCCUGGACAGGUGGUGGAAACUACCAAGCUAGAGUACGGUAGGGGCAGAGGGAAUUUCCGGUGGAGCGAUGAAAUGCGUAGAGAUCGGAAGGAACACCCAAGGCGAAAGCACUCUGCUGGGCCGACACUGACACUGAGAGACGAAAGCUAGGGGAGCAAAUGGG